rnacentral:rRNA from 1 species
AGGAAUAUUGGUCAAUGGACGCAAGUCUGAACCAGCCAUGCCGCGUGGAGGAUGAAGGUCCUCUGGAUUGUAAACUUCUUUUAUCUGGGACGAAACACUUCUUUUCUAAGAGGCCUGACGGUACCAGAUGAAUAAGCACCGGCUAACUCCGUGCCAGCAGCCGCGGUAAUACGGAGGGUGCUAGCGUUAUCCGGAUUCACUGGGUUUAAAGGGUGCGUAGGUGGGUAUGUAAGUCAGUGGUGAAAUCCCCGAGCUUAACUUGGGAACUGCCAUUGAUACUAUAUAUCUUGAAUACCGUAGAGGUAAGCGGAAUAUGUCAUGUAGCGGUGAAAUGCUUAGAUAUGACAUGGAACACCAAUUGCGAAGGCAGCUUACUAUGCGGUGAUUGACACUGAGGCACGAAAGCGUGGGUAGCAAACA